rnacentral:lncRNA from 1 species
CAGCCGCCAUUUUUUUUAAAACUCGAUGCAACCUUUGGUUCGAAUUGCCAUUUUCCAAAAGAAUUAUCGAGAUGUGAACAAAGUUCAGACUCGAGUUUCAUGGUAUGUGCCUAUAAGAUGAAUUGGCUGGAGACAAGUACAUUCAUGUUGCUGUAGAUCUUUUCAAGUUAAAUGUUUGAUUACAAUGUAGACCUGUGAUACAUGUGUGAAUGAAUUCCAAUUUACCGACAGUGUUUCUUUGGAUCCUGCUAUUCAUAUUAUAUGGAUUUGUUCAGUUGUUCUGUUGAGCCAGGUGGUAUUUGUUGAGGUGAUGCAUACUCUUAAGCAUAAUGGCAGAACCAGUGGACAUAUCAUCGGAAGAUGAAAGCUGCCCUAUCUGCGACGAAUUUUUAAAGAACGGAUCGCCCAUAGUUUUGAUACGUGAAAAGGGAGCAAAUAGCAUCAACAGAGCCAGUGCACAGAGAAAGUCGAAUGUAACAAGACUGUAGAAGGGAUUUUAUAGACUUGAGAAAUGUAAAAACUGAUAAUUAUAGUGGAUAUGCAUGUGACUCUUUGACAACAAGAUGCAGUUGUACAACUUUUGAUUUUAAAUCUAAUUGUUUCUUCUGCACUUGUAAACCGCCUCGGUAGCCUAGUGGUAGAGCGUUCGCUUCGCGUGCGGGAGGUCGUGGGUUCGAUCCCCGGCCGCGUCAUACUAAAGACGUAAAAAAUGGUACUA